GCAAGCAUGAUUUUCAUCACAAUCUUCAUCUGGACACUUUUGUGUUUUGUUAAAGGAUCCAGAGGUCAGGUCACAGUGACUCAGACUCCUGCAAUGAAAGCAAUUCUUCCAGGAGACACUGUUAAAAUCAGCUGUAGACUCAGCACUCCAGCAUCAGACUGUAGCCCAGCCUGUGUGUUCUGGUACCAACACAAACCUGGAGAGGCUCCUAAACUCCUGAUUAGAUAUGUUAGCACCCGUCAGUCUGGAGUUCCAGAUCGUUUCAGUGGCAGUGGAUCUGGGACUGACUUCACUCUGACCAUCAGUAACAUCCAGACUGAAGAUGCAGGAGAUUAUUACUGUCAGAGUCUACAUUACAUCAGUAGCAAAUAUGUGUUCACACAGUGA